rnacentral:rRNA from 1 species
AGAAUCAACGCUGGCGGCGUGCCUAACACAUGCAAGUCGAACGAGAAAGUGGAGCAAUCCAUGAGUAAAGUGGCGCACGGGUGAGUAACACGUGACUAACCUACCCUUGAGUGGGGGAUAACCUAGGGAAACCUGGGCUAAUACCGCAUAAUACCUACGGGUCAAAGGAGCAAUUCGCUUUAGGAGGGGGUCGCGGCAGAUUAGUUAGUUGGCGGGGUAAUGGCCCACCAAGACGAUGAUCUGUA